rnacentral:rRNA from 1 species
GACGAACGCUGGCGGCGUGCCCAAUACAUGCAAGUCGAGCGCAGGAAACUGACGGAACUCUUCGGAGGGAAGGCAGUGGAAUGAGCGGCGGACGGGUGAGUAACACGUAAGGAACCUGCCUCAAGGAUUGGGAUAACUCCGAGAAAUCGGAGCUAAUCCCGGAUAGUUCAUCGGACCGCAUGGUCCGAUGAUGAAAGGCGCUUCGGCGUCACCUUGAGAUGGCCUUGCGGUGCAUUAGCUAGUUGGUGGGGUAACGGCCCACCAAGGCGACGAUGCAUAGCCGACCUGAGAGGGUGAUCGGCCACACUGGGACUGAGACACGGCCCAGACUCCUACGGGAGGCAGCAGUAGGGAAUCUUCCACAAUGGACGAAAGUCUGAUGGAGCAACGCCGCGUGAGUGAUGAAGGUUUUCGGAUCGUAAAACUCUGUUGUAAGGGAAGAACACGUACGAGAGGAAAUGCUCGUACCUUGACGGUACCUUACGAGAAAGCCACGGCUAACUACGUGCCAGCAGCCGCAGUAA